ACUUGAACGGGCGCAAUGCACUGGCGCAAUGGACAAAGGCAGCCUGAACUGGCACGCCCAAAAAACAUAUGACAAAAAAUUUGAUUUGUGCAUUAAGACCUGCGGUAUUCAGUUGAACCUAGCUAUAGAUAAUUUAAAAAUCAAGGCGUUUUUAUGAACUGCGCAUGCGCAACUGCCAUCUGCUACUCGGAUUGCUGUAGAAGACAGUUCACUUUUCAUAUCGCCUUGGCCCAUUGACGUAAUCCAUCAAAAGGUAGCACAAACGUUUGGACGCCCCAAGAAUACCUUCAAUCUCGGUACCGUUUUGAAUCGUUUCGGCGCGCAUUGAAACCUACUUAUUUGGGGGCAUAGUUUAGCUGCUAACAAAGAGAAGAAACACAGCGCCUGGGAUCAACACAUCGCCGAGCAAGCAAACAUCAAGCCCCAAAAUGUCAGGUGAGUUUACUUUAGCGAUAACCAGUUGGUUGAAUGCAAGGGCGUAAAUUUGGUCUCAAUCUUGGUAGGGACGAUAGAACAGCAUAACCUGCAUGUACGCUUUUUGCUGGUGACGGGACAUUAAAGUGCGUACGGCAGGAGGAAAAAAAAGUCUUAAAUAGCAUUAUUAUGUGAAUUAAAAUCAUAUUUUGGGACGAUUCGACUAUAUCAGGGGUCCCCAACGACCGGGCCGCGGACCGGUACCGGUCUGUGGCGCAUUUGAUACCGGGCCGCGCAGAAAUAAUAAAUAAUUUAUUAACGACUGCUUUCUGGCCAAUUGACUUUGGCCUGUGCCGCUUAAAGUGCUUGUGACACGAAAAAGCAUGUUUAUUUCAUAAUACACGCGGUAUUUUAUGCUCCUGAAUGAUAUGGAUCGCUUGGAUGUGUGUGGAAGCGAUCGCUAUAUUUAUUUAGUUUUUUGAAUCCCGCGCCAGGAAAAUGAGUGACUUCCGGCUUCGGUCUCGCAUUGAGGAGGAGGGCGCUGUGACGUGUACGGUAGAAGACGUCCUCUUCACGCUACAGUGUACUGUUGUGUAUGAGGACGAAGGAUUCAGCUGAUUUUGCGGAUUAAUACUUUUAUUUUUUGCAUCACGCCAGCCAAACGGCUGCAGAAAAAUCAUUCUGUAUGCGGGAGAGGCGUAUGCGCCUUUUUGGAGUUUCAAAAGGUUCCCAUUCACCGUGGAUAUUUACUGUGGGACCAUUGGACUUACAAGGAAGUGAGUAAACAUCUUGUUUUGUAUUAUGUCAAAUACGAAUACAGUGAUUACAAAGUAAACACUAUAAAAUUCCUUUAAAUAAAGGACUACUUACGUUUGAUCAUUGAUAGGCAUGUAAAAAGCUGUCCUCAUGCCCAUUAGCAGUUAGCUGUUAGCACGUUAGCUGCACUACAAUUCCAGCCACCCUCCUUCAGCGAACGAACUGUAAAUUGCUCUCCGCCGGGCGGUUUGCCGAUCCGCAAAGAAACUCGACAACCGGGUCGUCAUGUCAAAUAAUCCAGGCUAGUUAUGUGUGAUUUUCCACUUCGAAGACUUUGAAACAUCCCUCGGUUCGGGUUAGCAUGUCGGCUAGCUGUCGCUCCUUCUGGUCUGUUUACAUUCUCCGAAGCCGGGGAAGGGAAAUGACAUAUGUCCGAUUUAGGUGUCAUAAAAUAUCGUUCGGGAGGUGUGACAGUAAAGGUAAAGUCGACUGUUUUGACCAUUAUGGAGUAAUUUUGCCAUGUCGUCUUGAAUAAAUGGAUUUUUAUUAUUUUAUAUUCCAUUUAGCACAAGAUUGUUAUUUGUCAUGACCAUGCCAUUUAUUUAGCAAUUGGGGAAAGUACUUGGGUAAAAAGAAUAUCCUGUAAAAAUAUUGAAGUAAAGAGACAGAAACAAUGACAUUUUGCCGCUCUCUUCGUCGCGUUUUCCUCAUUGUGAAUAGUUCCCCCUCGAUGGGCUGACUGGUCCUUCUCAAGCCAUUUAUAUAGCUAUUGGGGAAAAAUACUUGGAUAAAAAGAAUAUCCUGUAAAAAUAUUGGGAGUAGAGAGACUGAAACAAUGACAUUUUGCAGCUGUCUUCGUCGCGUUUUCCUCGUUCUGAACAAUUCCCCCUCAAUGGGCUGAAUAGUAAAACCGAUGAGCCUAGUCUACCGCUGACGUCAUCCACCUGUUGGGGACGCUAAAGCCCUAUAAUUGUAGGCGUGGCUAACCGGCAGAUUAAAAGACUAAUUUCUCGUCAUCUGCGCUUUGCUAAAUUGUUGUAUAUAGUCGAAUCGUCUCAAAAUAUGAUUCUAAUUCACAUAAUAAUGCCAUUUAAGACUUUUUUUCUGGUGUCGUAUGCUCUUUAACACACCAAUAUCCCUGUCUACUCUAGAUAUACAACUACAGGAUAGGAGGUCGUCAUAGAAAUGCAUUGAUUGGGCUGUUGGCACUAAAUCUCGUUUUGUAUAUCUAUGCGCGCUUGGACUCGAUAAUAACGUAUGACGUAGGUCGUCGCCAAUCACAUUUCUUCCCGGAAAUAAUUAGCCCCCACACUAGAAUGACUGAAUAACAGACGUCUUUGGACAGACUUUUUACGGGGAAAAGGGAACCUGACGAGCCAGAAGAUGUGCCUACAACCUCGAAGAAAACAAAAUUUAUGUUACUUCCCAAUCACUAAAGACCCACGAACUGCGAAGGAGUGAAUUCGUGACCCGUAUGUGAAUAAACCGAGAGAUUCGAGCAUGUCUGUGCAACAGGAAUAUCAGCUUGUAGAGAUCGCAAAUCACGGCGACCUUAAACGUACAUUUGAGACAACAACUCUACCGAAGUUCUGGAUUAAAGUCAUUUCAGAAUAUCCUGACAUCGCUAGGAGCGCGCUGAAAACUGUGCUACAAUUUCCAACAUCGUGUAUUUGUGAUGCUAGCUUCUCUCACUCUCCCAUCUCGGGACCAUCUCGUCUCAACGAAACAAACUCAGGCCUCCCACUGAUUGAGCGGGUGAGUUGUAUUUUUUCCCUGCACUUAACACGACGGGGCUAAAAACAAAUGCUAUUUUAUAUUUGCUGUAUUUUUCUGCCGCACAUUGCCGGUGUUCUGACAAAGUUGGCACGCGCGUAACGUUGAAAAGGACCGCGAAUGCAGCGAUUCCAAAGUACACACUACAAACUUUCUUUAAAGGGUAUGACAACACCUGGGGAAAUGCUAAUAUUCCAUCAUUUAUCCAUCAACGCAAACCUUUUGAAUUCAUAUCAUGCCACUUCUUGUAAUUACACACAUCGCAACACCAAGAAAAUGAUAGAAAUUAGGUCGAUUGUCAAGCUAAAAGGACCCGCCCCCGAGAUGCCGGAAAUCUAGCAUAUUGUGUGCGUGACGUCACUAUAGGGAAACAACCAGCUCAGUGCUUAGUACUGAAUGGCGGCGAUGAAGGCGGACAAUUUUGUUUCUAUUUGCAGCGACGAAUCCAACGUAACGAACAUUCUUCUAAUGGUGCCGAGGAGAUUUAUGAACCUUUCUUUGGUGUUUUGGGUUAUCAAUUUGAGCCCAAACGAAAGCCAAUGCAGCCUAAUGAAAGGAUCAUUGAGGGGAGCAAUCACACCGGCGGCAACAGAAUCACCGAAUGGUUUGUUGUAUGUAUAGAAUGAAUAGAAUAAUUAUCAUUUAAUAUGCUAUCAUUGGUUUCGCUCUGCCAACCGACACAAAUAUAAAUGGGAUUAGAGGAUUUGUUCUAUAUAAUUUACGAGCGAUAAUUUAUACAUGCGUCCAGUCCUAUAUCCAAUGCGUGAUAUGUUUUUUUUUUUUUACCAACAGUCUUUUUAUUGUUUUCACAACAUAACAAAAAUACAAUAACAUAUAUUAAACAAACACUUCAAAUUACUCUGUCUCUUGGUUGGGGGUCAAGAUAAUGAGUUGUAGUCCAUUUCAAUUCACUAUAUUGCAAAAAGGGGUAAAAAAAUAGACCCCCACACACAUUUCUAUUCUAUUGAUUACUGCAGAGGGCUACUGUUUACAUAUCCCCGGGCUCUUCCAUCACACAUGACAGAUCUGUUCUUGACACAUAAUAAAUGAAGGGGUCCCAUAUCUGAUGAAAAUGAUGCUGUUGGUGUUUUAUUGUAUAGGUAAUUUUCUCUAAGGGGAGCGUUGAAGAUAACUCAGACAACCACCUGCUCAGUGUUGGUCUCCUGGUGUUCUUCCAUGAGAGGGCUACUACUCUCUUUGCUGUCAGUAUACUUAAAUCUACAAAUACUCGUUGAUUCUUUUUAAUCUUCAAUUUAUCUGGGUAUAAACCUAAUAAAAACAGCUGUGGAAUUAAGGGUACUUGAAUUUGUAAAAUAUUUUGAAAACAUUGUUUCACUUCUUGCCAAAAUUUUUGUAUUUCUGUACAUUGCCAAAUACAAUGGAAAAAUGUACCUUUUGCUUUUUCACACUUAAUACAAGUAUCUGGUAUAGCACUGUUAUAUCUGUUAAGUUUUUCUGGGGUUAUAUACGUUCGCAUCAACCAAUUGUAUUGCAGUAGUCUUAGGCGGGUGUUAGUAGUUCUCAGUUGUGCUUUAGUACAUGCCUCCUCCCACUUUUCCACUGAGAGAUCUUCCUCCAGGUCCUCCCUCCAUGCCCCCAGUCGUCCUGCAGAUGAUUCUGUGCUUCCAUCUACCAGGCGUUUAUACAUUUUGGAAAUUAAACCCCUCCUUAAACAAUUAUCAUUCAUUAGUUUUUCUAUGGUAGACAUUUCGGGAAAGCAUAGCAUUUGAUUUUGGUGCGUUCUGAUGAAAUUUCUCAACUGUAGAUAUUUAAAAAAGUGAUUACGUGGUAUAUUAAAUUUAUCAACUAUUUCUCCAAAUGUCAUCAGAACCUUUUGCAUGUUGUAAAGAUCUCCUAUUUUUCUUAGUCCUUUGGAAGCCCAAAAUUUAAAUCCCCCAUCUGUUUUUCCUGGAGGGAAGGAUUCAUUUCUCCAUAUUGGGCUGAGGGCAGAGAGAGAGGAUGUUUCUCCCAGAUAUUUUUUAACUUGAUGCCACACUGUAAUCAUAUUUUUUACUAUAGGAUUUUUUGCAUUCUUUUUUAGGAUUUUAGUGCUUGCUGAGUAUAGGUAUGUAGGGAGGGGCAAACUUAGUUGGAGUUCCUCCAUUUCCUUCCACAGAGGGGCGUCUCCUUCUGAGAAGUGAAACAUCAUUGCUCUCAGCUGUGCUGCCCAGUAAUACCAAAGUGGGUUAGGACACUUAAGUCCCCCUCUAUCAAAGGGUAAGUACAAUAGUGAGAGUCGAGUCCGAGGCCGUCUAUUAUUCCACAAAAAUCUAACAAACAAUUUUUUAAGCUGAGUGAACAGGCUACUUGGAGGAGGAAGUGGAAUAUUUUGAAACAAAUACAACAGUUUAGGCAGUAUGUUCAUUUUAAGGAUGUUUAUUUUCCCUAUUAGUGACAUUGGUAUGGGUGCCCACCUAUCCAGCGACUUUGAAAUUUCUUGAAUUAAUGGUUCAUAAUUACUGGCUGCAAUAUUUUCGAGGCGUGGGACAAUUUGAAUGCCCAAAUAUGUAAAACAAUCUACGGUUUUAAAUUGAGUGGCAGUUUUAGGGGGGCUUCUACUUUCUAAUGGAUUUAAAAACAUUAUUGAUGAUUUUGAUUGGUUUAAUUUAUAUCCUGAGAAUUUUCCAAAUAUGUUAAUAAGUUCUAAUAAUUCAGGAUUGGAUUCUUCUAUAUUUUUAAGAAAUAUUAUUAUAUCAUCUGCAAAUAGAGCCAGGCGGUGUUCCUGUUGCCCAAUUGUUAUACCAGUUAUAUUUUGGUGUGCUCUUACUGCUAUUGCCAGGGGUUCUAUAGCCAUAAUAAAUAGUAAAGGGGAUCGUGAUAUGUUUUUUAUUAUAAAAGAGUACUCGCUCUGGCCAUUUCCCUCCUUUGCUUUGCCUGGGAUGGUGAGGUGGUCUCAUCAGACCCAGUCAUCAUCCUCUUUCACCGGGCACCGCAUCUGCUUUCAGCAGCAAUUUCUUAGCAAAACCUGAUUUCAUUUGCCCAUAGCUCGUAUAGCUUUCAGGUGUAAAAUGCGCACCACACAAAACCAUGCCGGAGGCUGGGUCUGCAAAAUUAGCCCUCUUAGCACUGACGAACUUUACUCAUUGUCUGCGUAGUCCAGCUCUUUUUCUCGCGUUCGGGAACUCAUGGGUACUACAUUGUGACAAAUGGCGAUUUGUAAACCACAUAGCAUGACAGGUUUGAACCAUUUUAGCGAUUUUUUGAUAAAACACGAACGCAAUUCUCUCGUCGAUAAACAACGAUGGCACCUGCCUUGACCUUUUUGUUUCCUUGUUAUGACGUCUCCGCCCCAUUCGGCUGUUUCCGGAACACUUUCGGAAAUGUUCGUCAUUUUCGAUCUAUUUUCGAUAAUUGGUCAUUAAUGUGAUUGAUUUUUUUGUUAACUUUAUCCAUAUUUGUUAUCUUGGCACAUAACGGUUCUAUUGAUGUCUCACACCCCCUUUGCGUUUUCAUACCUUUUAAAGAAAGAAAUAUUAACUUACGUUUGCCAUGUUAGGUGCACACAACAACUGCACGUAGCCCUCUCACUUAACGACUUCGCCGUGUCGUUAAGCAUUAAUUUACGCCAUUUCCGUGUUGCACAUGUAUGUUUAUGAUGUUAAUAGUUUUUUUUAGCACCAUUGGAUAACAUUGAGAGUUCAACUGAAUAUAAAAGAGGGCUUUUUUCACCGCCACAAAAGCUUUGGGAGCAAAAUUUUAUAAGGGUGAAAAAUUUGACAGGACACCGGUCCGUGAAAAAAAGACCCAAAUCACACCGGUCCGUGGUGCAAAAAAGGUUGGGGACCCCUGGACAAUAUAGACCCUACCCACGUGACAUCACAACUCCGCUCUCCUGACUGGUGCCGCCCACUUGUCCGGCAACACAUCGUGUUGACCUGUUACUGCUACGUACAUUCCUCCUAUUUACGACGUGUUUUUCUGCUCGUUAACAUUAAUAAUCAAAAUGGUGAAGGCGUGUGUGGCGGUCGGUUGCAAUAACAGAGAAGAUAGACGGAGAGUCUUGAAGUUCUACCGGAUUCCGAGAGACACGGAGAGGAGAGAGCGAGAUGGGCUGCUGCAAUUCGACGAGAAAACUGGGCUCCAAACGAUUACCACAGAUUAUGUAGUAGUCAUUUUAUAUCUGGUAAGAUGCAUUUAAUAUAUAUUUAGAGGGUUUUGGGCUGACAACCACAAUUAAGAUCAUUGCUAGGCUAAUCGCCGACAACAUACACGUAUGUAUGUAGUGAGUGCUAUCGCUAAACCAUAUAAACAUUAAAAGCCCGAGCUCCAUUGACAAAUGACAUGAAAUACAUUAGACUUGACAGUGGAUGUUAGCAAGAACAAAAGAUUUUGAAUUGAAAAUUUCGUAACUCACCUUCCGAGCACAAGAUUCCUGCCGAAUUUUCGUGUACGAGGACCUGUUUCACCCAACCAGCAACGUAGCAUUUAUAAGCCUCCAAGCUCUUAAAGUUUUUCAAACUUUCGUGAGAAUAGGCUGAUUUUGUGUGGACAAGAUAGUUGUAAAUAUCAGGGUCAGGCAGAGACGGUGAAGGCAGCCGGUCAAAAAUCAUCGAUUUAGGCAUCAAAUAUGGAUCUGGCGACUGUAUAGAACGAAGCUUUUCCACAUAACGCCUUUUAUGCAACACAUCCAGUGAGUUUACGGCAUCAGAAAGCACCGGGUCUUCCAUGAAAUGCAUUUUAAAUUCCUCGAUCAAUUGAAACCAAUGCUAAUACAGAGACAAAAUGACGGACAAGUGGGCGGAACCAUACAGCGAGCACGUGGUUUUAUGACGUCGGUGGGUAGGCUCUAUAGACUAGAGCUGUCCCGACUAGUCGACAUAGUCGACGUCAUCGAUGACGUAAAUCCGUCGACGAGCACAACGUCCCGUCGACGGUUAAUGAAGGGUUAAAAAAAAUAUAUGCGUGGAAAGUUCAGAAUGUCGGAUGCUCUGUAUGCAAGCAGGGAAAGCGGCACAAAGCCAAAAAAGCGCACCAGAGUGUCCAAAACAUUGACUUCUUUCAAAGAAACAACUGAGGGUACACUCUUCUGUCCUGCCUCUUCAAUGGCAAGCUUGGCUGCACGUCGGCCGUGAAUAAACAUCUCAAAUGCCGUCACCCAGUUAGUAAUUUUUUUAUUUUUUUUUCAUUUUUUGAACACCAGAGAGUGCUGUCGCCUUACUGAAUAAUAAUGUUUCAUUGACAAUGGGCCUAUAAAUGCUAUUAGUAUUGUCCUUAAUGCUAACUGAAAGGUUUAUUUCAUGUUAUGGUUUAUUUUAUGGUAUAUAAAAUUAUAUAAGGUUAAAAGGUCAUAAAUAUAUACAGUAUAUACAGUGCUUGCACUCAAGGGAGAGAUUGUCAAUGAUAAGGUAAUAAAUUAAGGUGAAGGCAAUUCAUUGAUAUAUAAAUAAGGUUUAAAAGGAAAAAGGUGAAAAGUUUUUGUUAAUUUCUAAUUGUGUUGUUUUAUUUGUGUGCACCGCAGCUCUUACAAUGUAAUUACAUCAAGGAUGGAAUAAAAGUUUAAAACCAUCAGUUUAAGAGACCACCUUUUCAAUCGGGAUGCUAAACUAGUUAAUGCUAUCAGCAUUUGAACUCAUUGUUUAUUUGUGAUUUAUUAUUGUUAUUUACGUGUUCAUUUGUACUUAAAUAAAUAAUUUAAGUGUUCCAGUAUAUUUUUUGUGAAUUGAUAAGCGUCAACAAAAAUUUCAUAGCUAAAUUAGUAAAAAAAAAUUUUAAAAAAAAUUUUUUUUUUUAAUUAUUAGAUUAGUGGACUAAUCGUAAAAAUAGUCGGCUGACUAAUCGGGAGAAAAUUAGUCGUUUGGGACAGCCCUACUAUAGACCCCAAUCACCAACGUCACACAAUUACGUGAUCGCUGUAUUGUGCCGCCAUAUUGUCAAUGGUAGUAGUUUCUAAAGGUGGAUUCACUUGCAAAUUAUGGAAGCCCCAGUGCUUUCAGACGCUGUAAACUCAUUGGAUGAGUUGCAUAAAAGCCGUUAUUUGGAAAAGCUUCGGUCGAUCCAGUCGCCAAAUCCAUAUUUGAUGCCCAAAGCGAUGUUUCCUCCUGUCCGGUCCCGCCCCGUGCGUCAGAACUCGUCCUGAGACCACAAAAUUCCAAUCAUUGUCCAGUUUAUGUCACGAUGAGCAGUCGGGUACCCAAAAUUGGCACCGGCCCAAAUAUAAACCGACAUUUGGUCAGCUGAGCGUCACCGUUGUCACGAUUGUAAAAUGAAACUUGAUCGACAACGGGCCGGUGUGUGCCGAAAAAUAGCUGCCCCGCGUGAAAUGUCCCCCAUUAAGUCCCAUCCUGCCAUCUUGUGGCGAAAAGAUAAUAUGUCAAUAAUAACAAGCUAUAGGAACAUUAUUUCAACAUCAACUGACAAGACAUGUUUCACAGUAGUCCACUGCUCCUCCGUGAGUUCAUUAAAGUACUGCGAUAACCUGCUUACCACAUAGCCUAAGUCUGGUCUUGUGCAAACAGUUAGAUAUAUAAGGCUUCCGACUGCUUCCCUAUACAUCCUCACAUUGCUCAUUUUUAUUCCAUCCUCGGAAUAGUCAAGUUUUUGUUCACAGGGUGUUUCUCUGAUUUUGCAAUCAAGCAUAUCAAAGUGCUCUAGUAUCUUGUUUGAAUACUUUUCCUGUGACAUUUUUACACAAUCUUUCGUUUGAAUGAAAUCGAUACCCAGAAAAUGUUUGAGCUGUCCCAGGUCUUUCAUUCUGAACUUCUCUGCCAGCAUCUCCUUUGUUUGCUUCAGAAUACAAUCAUUGCUCGCAGCAAUAAGUAAGUCAUCGACCCAUGUGAUGAUGAUUACCUUCUCAUCAUUUUGCUCUUUUGUAUAAACACAGUGUUCAGCUUGGUUUUGUGUGAAAUUGUUGUCAGUUAACCAUUCAUGUAAAACUCUGUUCCAAUUUCGGCCUGAUUGUUUGAGACCAUAUAGUGAUUUUUUUCAAGUUUGUAGACUAGACCAUCUUUUUCUUCAUAGCCAUCAAGUGGGUUUAUGUAUAUGUCAUAGUCAAUAGGAGCAUGUAAGUACGCUGUCUGACUGAAUUUCUUCAUCCAUGGCUUUUGACCAAUAUUUUGAGUUAUUGGAACUCAUGGCCUCCUGGUAUGUUUGAGGUAUACCAACUACCAUCCUGUAGCAGUAGUCUACAGUGGUAUGAACUAGGGAUGUCCCGAUCCAGGUUUUUGCCCUUCUGAUCCGAUACCGAUAUUGUUUUGCACUUCCGAUCCGAUACUGAUACUGGCCGAUACCGAUACCGACCUAUCUGAGCAUGUGUUAAAGUUUAAAGUUAUUUAGCCUCCUUACUUAGUUGUCAGACUCAUGUUGAAAAAGGUUUUAGUACUCUUGAUAACAACUAGCCAGCUGAAUUAGGUGAGUUUGAAUAACACACAACGGUUGGUAACAAGAAACUGACCUGUUUAUUCAGUGACAAACACAAAACAUUCUAAAUAACAAACAGAAAUGGCAUAGUCAGUCAGUAAAACGUGCAAAUAAUAUUGUAAACGGUCUUAAAAAAGCAAAACACACCAACAAUCUCAGUAGAAAAUCCCACAAAUCCCCCAAGCUAUUAGAUGCUUUUAAUGUUUCGUGCAUUAGUUACAAAAUGUUUUAUAAAAAGCCUCUCAGGUUUAAGUAGACGACUGUUUCAGUAUCAAGUUAACAUUUUAAAACAGUAAAUAAUAAGUCCCCAUUCUGUAUCAGCAGCUUUAAACUACAUUCAAUUCAUUUAAUUUUGCGAAUCAACUGUUAAAGUGUUAAAAUUGCUCCCGUUAUUCCAUAAUUUCCCUUCUGUCUACUUUCGACAUGUGAAAGUUUUAAAACUGUUUUGAAGAUAGAUUCAAGUCAAGAUUUUGCCAUUUAGGAGUAUUUUAGAUCAAAAGUUAAUUAGGUUCGCUUGGAAGGUUCACAACAGCCUACUAGGGAAGUCUUCUGCUUUAAGAUGGCGGCUGUUUACUAACGCAUCUGUUUUCAAUACUUCGAUGUUGCUAAUGCAGUCGAGUCUGUCGUUUUGCAUCUAGUUCUAUAUACAUAUGGUAUCUAUUAUCUCCAGUAAAACGAUGUUGACGUAGUUUGUAGCGGCUGUCAGCAGCAGUCAGGUAUUCUUGUGUUUUUUGUCCAGCGGCAUGUGUUGAGCUAAAGCCGUGAGUUGAGCUUUGGCAUUACCCGGAGCGGGUCUAUGACAAGCAUUAUGUUUACUUUCGGGAUGCAAUGCGGUCAGUUUCUUAUUUAUGGAGAUAGAAUAGUGCCAAAAGAAGUGAGGUUGUAAAAUGAAAAUUAUACCUGUAAAAUGACCAAUUUUAACUAAAAAACACUUGUAUUUCCAAAUUUUGCGUUGUGUAAUAAACAUGAAAAAAACACGAUGUAAAAAAUAAAUUCUACAAGUGUUUUUUUUCCAAUUACAAGUGAUUUUUUUUGUUCUACAGGUUUUUUUUCUUCACUACGGGUUAAAAAUUAGCAAUUACAAGUGCACAAGUUUUGUCACAUUCUUGUCGAGUUUUAUGAGCCAAAAAAGAUACUCGUAACCUAGUUUUAAAAUAAAAACAUACCUGUAAAAUGACUAAUUUUAACUUGUAAAACAAAAAAAACCAACUUGUAUUUCCAAAUUUUGCGUUGUGAAAUAAACAUGAAAAAAACACAAUGUAAAAAAUAAAUUCUACAAGUGUUUUUUUUCCCAAUUACAAGUGAUUUUUUUUGUUCUACGGAUGUUUUUUCUUAGCUACGGGUUAAAAAUUACCAGUUACAAGUACACAAGUUUUGUCACAUUCUUGUCGAGUUUUAUGAGCCAAAAAAGAUACUCGUAACCUAGUUUUAAAAUAAAAACAUACCUGUAAAAUGACUAAUUUUAACUUGUAAAACAAAAAAACAACAACAUGUAUUUCCAAAAUUUGCGUUGUGAAAUAAACAUGAAAAAAACACAAUGUAAAAAAUAAAUUCUACAAGUGUUUUUUUUUCCAAUUACAAGUGAUUUUUUUGUUCUACAGGUGUUUUUUCAUCACUACGGGUUAAAAAUUACCAAUUACAAGUGCACAAGUUUUGUCACAUUCUUGUCGAGUUUUAUGGGCCAAAAAAGAUACUCGUAACCUAGUCUUAAAAUAAAAACAUACCUGUACAUUUGACUAAUUUUAACUUGUAUAACAAAAAAAAAAAACUUGUAUUUCCAAAUUUUGCGUUGUGAAAUAAACAUGAAAAAAAAACACAAUAUAAAAAAAAUUCUACAAGUGUUUUUUUUUUCCAUUUACAAGUGAUUUUUUUUUUUGUUCUACAGGUGUUUUUUCUUUGCUUACAACCUCGCGAGUUUUGUCACCCCCUUGUCGCGUUUUCAGAGACAAAAGUCACUUGUAACCAAAGAUGAAAAAAUCUACUUGUACAUCGAAAUAAUCUGUUGUAAAAAACAAACACAAAAAUAUCAUUCCAAGUCGUGGUCAAAAGAAGACGUUAAGAACACAAUCUAGUGAAUAGUUCUUCGGGUGUUUUUUUCUUUAAUGAUCUACAAGUGUUUUCUGAGCAUGUACAACUAAAUUUCGGGGUAAGCAUGUGAGCCAAAAUUCUGACCAAUCAGAACGGCGAUUGUUCAACCAUUUGGAGGGAGGGGGGGGAGUUGCGCACCGUUCCCAACCCGCUGCUUCUUGCUUUAUUCAUCACGCCAGACGACAGACAUGUCAGAGCACGCUCAGGUAAGAAGUUCCGUGGAAUUAAUGUUUUCUCAUGAAUGUCAUUCAGUAAAAGAUUUAUCAAGCGUAUAUAAUCAUAAUUCGUAUCAACAUCAAGUGAAUUUGGCAUUCUACGAAUGGCACGAAAAUCGAUGACGAGCCAAUUAGCUACAAUUAGCCAUGCGGACUUCACGUGUUGAGACGAUGUUACAGGCAUAGCCACGGACAGCUACUUGUUAAGGAUCAUGUUGAUAUGUACACGAAGGGGGGAGGAACCCGAAAGAAGUGGACUAGGCUAACCGACGGCCCCUCACCGUAGCUAAUCAUUUAGCUAAACAUAGGUCGACCAAUGUGUGGUAGCGAGCCUCAGAGGGAACGAUGGGACUCAAAGGUUUGUUGUAUUUAAAUGGUAGGGGGUUAAAAGGGUGACCAAAAUUUAAUAAAUCCAACCAAAAUUUGAUAAAUCUAUGAACACAUAGUUAAAUAUUGUUUGUAUUUCGUCUGGGUUAUUUCCAGAUUUAUUGAUGUUCUUGAUUUUUAUGUGUUCAUUUUUUUCAAAAUGUAUUACGUAAUAUUGGGCUCGAGCGUUUACGUUACAGAAUGGGGGAUCACGUGAGAUUUGACAACAACGCAGCCAUAUUGGAAGCAGGUCUGUCUUGCAGGACAUUAAACCUUAACUUGCCAGUUUGAUAAAGAGACAAACUCGUUACUAAGGCGAAGAACAGAUAUGUGAUCAAACUUAAGGAUGUGAACAAUAUUGACCCUUACGAGCAAGCCGAAGACAAAUGGAGUAAAGAUGACGACGGGCUUCCACAAUUACGCAAAAUGGACACUCUGCUGUAUUUAUUGUUUGGUGUAUGUUACUAAACUCAUCAGCGAUUCUGAAAUUACAAAUCGCUACAAACUUACAACAGUUUACAUUUCAAAACGUAUUGUGAUAUUGUUUAUUUUUCAAUUUCUAUUGAUGUAAACAUAUUCAUAUUAGUUUUAUAUAUUUCAAUCUGUUCAUGUUUUUAAAAUUGGAUAUUAUCCCCUGUAAGAUAUAUUUCAAUUUUGUUUCCACUUGUAGGAAUUGCUGCGUGACCAUUUAGUGCACCGACUUGUGACCCGACUUGCUAGGUGGCUUAAUCGUCUCCCUUUGGAUAUGGAUUACCUCGAAUUCAUCAUUUGUCAGGAUUUGGUUGUAUUUGACGCCAUUGCUACUCGCAUAAAUGUUUCACAGGGCAUUGUUGAUGGGCUACGUGAUGUCUAUGUGAUGGUAUGCAAUGUAAAUAGGAGGGAGACAAAAAUUACAGUUGCCAAUGAAAGCGGAAGAAUUGGCCGUCCUAGAAUAUUGAUCCCUAAAGAGCAUACACUGCACCUUCUAGAUGUUGGGUUACCUGUGACCACUAUAGCUCAGCUCUUCGGAGUGUCACGAAGGACAUUACAUAGACACAUGGCAGAAUGGGGUUAUACUGUGCAAGGAAGUUAUAGCAGUUUAACAGAUGAGGAACUGGACUCCCUCGUGUCAGAUAUACACACUAGCAACCCAAAUGCAGGUUAUAGAAUGAUGAAAGGAUUGCUGAAAGCACAGGGGCAUAAAGUGCAGUGGGAGAGAGUUAGGUCUUCAAUGCAAAGAGUGGACACAUCAGGCAUUGUCUCUCGGAUGUCUCAGCUUCGCUGUGUGGUCAGAAGAACAUAUUCAGUCCCCAGCCCGAAAUCUCUGAUGCAUAUAGACACCAAUCACAAACUAAUUAGGUACAACAUUGUCAUUUUCUGAGGCAUCGAUGGCUAUUCCAGAAAGGUUUUGGCACUAAGUAUAAUAGGAUGCAUGUUUUAUUUAUUAACCUAUUAAUUGUUUUUCAUUCAAAAUAACAUAAUUUGUGUUUCUAAUUAGUUAACAAUAAUGUAAGUUUAAUGUGCUAAUACAGUGGUACCUCUACAGACGAAGUUAAUUCGUUCCAGGAUGUUGUUUGUAAGUCGAAACGGUUUUAUGUCGAGCAGGAUUUUCCCAUAAGAAUAGAUAAUUCCAUGAAUUCGUUACACAGCCCCAAAACCUACACUAAAUCCUUAAUAAGUACUGCUGAUACUAUUAAAAAUGUCAAUUACACAUGGCAAAACAAACAAAUUAUAAAUAAAAAAUGGAAUAAUGAUAUAAUAAUAAUUCCUGUAAUAAUGUAACGAAUCAGGUUCUAAUGUGGCGGACAUUUUUUUAUGUACCUGAACGCACUUCGUGACUGACGUGACACAGAUAGCGGUGCGGUUCAGUUUACUUUCGCUUCCAAUGUUUUCUUCAGAACACAGUCAACUGCGGGAGACAGUAGGAGUUUUGUGUUGGAUAAGGUCUGAAAUAAAUAACGACCUGUCGAAGCUGGCGAUUUCUUUGGCGAUGUUACCACAAUAAGAAUUGUCACCUUAACUUAUAAAGACUGGGGUACAGAGGAGAACCGCCUGCCGAGUUCGACACUCUACGGCCCAAUUGCCGACCCAGUUCAUGGAUGCACACAUCAUGCUUAUAUUUUGCCAUCAUUUACAUCAUUUCAAUGGUAAGCGUCACCUUUUCCUUUUUCUCCACCUGCACUAACCUUUUUGGAUCCAGUGUUGACUUCUCAUAACAAAAUCAGCCGUGCGUCCGUCUUCUGGCAAAACAGAAACUGCGGCGCUGUAAAAAAAAAAAACGUAUUUCGAGCAAGUCGUCGGAUGUAGAAACAAAUGGCGAGUCAAAUUUUAUGUCGGAUGUUGAAAACAUCGUGUGUAGAAGCGAUCGUUUGUCGAGGUACCACUGUAUAUCGUUAUGUUUAAAUGAUAUUGUCUUUUUUCAAAUAUUAAUCACCACCACAUUGAUUCAUAACAUUGGUACUAUGUAGAUUGUACUCAUUCUGUAUGUUACAGAGAGAAGGAUUUAACAUUUGUUAAGAUAAUAUGCGCAAAUACUGUGUGUUGAUAUAUACAUAUAUAUAUAUAUAUAUAUCAGAUCAUGUAUUUGAGGGCCUCGAACAACAACCUGGCAUCGACAACCAUGGUUUUCUUCCGUGACGCAGUUGAGAUGUUUGGCGUACCACUGAGGUAAAAAUUGAGCACAGCAAUGCUCAGUUUUGUUGGCUGACUUACUUGAGCUAUAGUAAGACCUGGUUAGAUCGAGACUUAGACAACUGGUUAAAAAUCCAAGAGUUCUACGUACUGUAUUUACUGUGGACGAUGUCUGUUUUCUUCACUUUAUCAGAGUCCGGGGUGAUCAUGGGGAAGAGAAUGUCGAUGUGGCACGAUUUAUGUUUUCUGUCAGAGGAACGGGGAGGAGCAGUUUCAUCGCUGGUAAAAGUGAACACAACCAAAGAAUUGAAUGCCUUUGGAGAGAUGUCUUUAGUGCUGUCACCAGCAGAUUCUAUGAUAUAUUACAUCAGCUCGAGGAGGAGGAGCAUCUUGAUCUGUCCAGCAAUCUUCACAUCUUUGCCUGCCAUUACGCCUUCAUUCCCCUUAUCCAACGCCACCUUGAUAUUUUCAGAGAUGGCUGGGAUGACCACCCCCUACGAACGGAGGGGAACCUCUCCCCCAAUCAGUUGUGGCAGUUGGGGCAGCAAUAUCACUCCCAGGAAUGUGAUGAGGAUCUGCAGAUCCCACUGAUUGACUGGGACAACAGUGGCCUCAUACCAAGUGAGCCAAACAAUGGAAUUGUGGUACCACAGAUCGAAUGCCCACUUGCAGCUGCAGAACUUGCUGGAUUGACUGCUGCUGUGGACCCACAAACAUCCAGCAAUCUUGGUGUUGACAUUUUUUUUUUUGACACUUGAAUAUAUGCAGAGCAUUGGAUAUGUGUAAUUUCAUUAAAUGCCUUAAGUGCGGAAACACAUGACUUUUUAACUUUAAUUUCUUCCAACAUGUUUCAUUUGCAAUUUGUACUGUUGAGGACCAAAAAUGUUUUUACAGAAGAAAUUAUUGAAAUAUUAAAAGGAAAAAUAAAUAAGCAUUCAAAAAUUUUACAUUUUGGUCCACCAUAUCGUACAGGGUACAUAUACAAUACGUAAAAUGUUCAAACAUUGGGUUUGGUGAACAUCACCAUACAGCCCACUAACUGCUCUUGGACAAAUCGUCCACUAGCUAAAACAUUAGUACUAUGUAGGUCCGAAGCUGCCAAAAAAAAAAAAAAGUUUUUACAGAAGAAAGCACUCAGAUCAACAUUAAAAUACAUUAAAGAAAAAAACAUAAAAAUUUUUUGGGGGCAGAUUUGGUCCCCCAUAUAGUGCAGGGUACAUAUACAAUAUGUAAAAAUGUUCAAACAUUGGGUUUGGUGAACAUCACCAUACAGCCCAAUAAGUGCUCUUUGACAAAAUGAGAACUAGCCAAAACAUUAGUACCAUUGUCAAUUAAUGGAACGUUUGUACUAUGUCGGACCAAAGCUGCCAAAAAAUAAAAAAAUAAAAAAAUAGAAAUUAACUAUAAUUACUAAAGAAAAGAUUCAAAGAAAUACAUAAAGUAAAAAGAUACAAUUAUUAUAUAUUUUUUAAUUUUGGCAGUUUUGGUCUUUCAUUUUAAACAGGGUACAUGUAAUGAAAUAUACAGUUUUAACUUUUUAAACAUCUGAAAAGUAUAAGAACACUAGCAAAGAUAAUACUCUAGUACAGGGGUCAGCAACCCUGGUC